UUCAUGCCCCUAGUCUACAUGCCAUGUCAAGUUGCAUCCUCUUCUUGCUUAGCUACAAGUGCUCAAUGCACUAGGAUAUACUCCCUCUGUUUCUAAAUAUAAGAUGUUUUGGAAGUUUAAAUUAUACUGCCAAAACGUCUUAUAUUUAGGAACGGGCAUAGUAUAUAAAAAUCUACCUCUUACUGAUCUCUUGUUGUAUAUUGGGAAGAGAAAUAUGCUUUGAAUCAUCUCCACAAGGAUGUAGAAUUACAUUUAUGGAAGGUUCGUAUUCAAAUUAUUAAAAACAUGAAGGAAUGAUCUCCUUUUAAAUAUGUUUGACUAGUAAAUGGUAUUUCUAUGUAGUAGCUGUGUGCGCAAGGAAGAUAAUACAGGAUAUCACCCACUUUCGUGCCUUAGCUCAAUAAAUUGACAUUAGUGAAAAGAAAAAACUGACAACCAUACUUACUCGUAGACUGGUACCUAGCGCAAGUAUAGGGUCUUGUAGACUGGUACAAGAAGAAAUUAAAACCAUUCCAAACAGGCCCUCUAUGGUUUUUUGUUGGAUGUCUGCAUUCUAGCUAAAGAUGACAUUGAAGUUAAUUGUCCUCCAUCUUGCUGUGAUAGUCAACCUUCUCUGUUUUAUUUCGACUCUUCUAUUUUUCCUGUCAUAAUGAUAGUCUUGUGAUAAGUGGCACUACUAUGUCAGAGUGAUGUUGCUCUGCUUUGUACCAACUUAGAAUUCAUGUUUUAGACUAACCUCAUAUUUCAGCUCGGCAUUAUAACUUAGGUCUUGAAAGGUUUGACAAGAUCUUGAAGGUGUCGGAGGUUGGGCAAGAUCCGCAAGGCAUCCAUACUAAUAUUUUCUGCUAAUUUUGGAAAAAGAAUGGAAAAGGAAGAGAAGAAGACAAUGCUGAAGCACAAGAGCAAGAGAGGCUAGCUAUACUUAAAGCAAGGAACAGCGAGGAUUCUGAACGAUUUGGGUCCUUUAAAUUUUCAAAUCUAAAUGAAGAUUUUGGAGGCCGAGCCAGUCAGGGACAAAAUAAAAGGAAGAAGGGACCCUGAUUGCUUUGCGUGGACACUGAUUACUUAUUUCUCUUGGAGGGUUACUAAAAUGCGGUGUCUACCUUGUGUUGGAAAAACUUGAACUCUAGGUCUACCGGAGAUUAGUUAAGAAAAUGUGAGUGUAAACUUGAAGGUCUCCUUGUCACAAUUUUACAGAAUGAACCAAUCCUUUUCGAUUUGCUUUCUUCUGCAUGCAUAUCAUCCAGAGGGAGAAGGAACCAUCGUCUAAGGUGCAUCAAAUCAAGCUAGAGGUUUCUGCAUCCAUUUUAGUCGAGUAGCAGUCUUGCGAAAGGUUUCCCAAAGAUACACUACUUGAUGGAGGUUUGGAUGAUCUACAAGCUGCUGAAGGUUUGCAAGAUCUACUAUUAAGUUGGUGGAGUGAUAAUGUAAUGAGCCUUGUUUGUUGAACCUGGAGACAUUGGCAAGUUGUGCUCAUAUUGGUGGUUGUUUUGGCACAUAAACAUGUAUGUACUCCUUCUGUGGCAGUCUGCUUAUAUAUGUUCUUAUGUUUAUGGAAUGAAGUUUAGGGUUUUUGAUGA